rnacentral:rRNA from 1 species
AUGUUAGCCACCAACUAUGCUAGUCGCUUGCUGCAGCUCCACCUCAUACCUUUCACCCUACCUAUAAGAUUAAAUAGUUUUGAUCGCGAGGGUGUGAGAUUGCUGAGUCCCCGUGACUCACAGAUACUUCCAAAACUAGUUUGCAGGUGCCGAUGUUAUCGAGCAGGUGACGCAACCAAGCUCAAGGAGGAACUUGAUGAAGAUCUUGCCCUUUGUGUUGUUUCUCUUCCUUUUGAUCAGUGGUGGAGCCCAGUUGGGACGAUCGGGGAUCUGUGUAGCUUUUGGGAGUCUUCUUUUAUUUUGGUUCCGUAG